GAUGAUGGUACAAGUGAUCAGGAUCUGUGUGACGCUGGUUGGACACGUAACGGUAAUGCAUGCUACCAACUAGUUGAAUCUACCGUCAACUAUACUACAGCCCUUGAUGCGUGCAGAAAUCUCAAUGACUACGGUGAUCUGGCGAGCGUAGCUGAUCAAGACGAAAGCAACUUUACUCUCGCAUUAUUGAGACGCACCUUUGAUACGAAUUAUUACUGGAUUGGGUUCAAUGACCUCGAUGAAGAGGGAACUUGGGCCUGGACUGAUGGCUCAGUUUCAUCCUAUACCAACUGGUAUUCUGGAGAACCAUCUGGUGGAUCUGAUCAUUGUGGUGUAUUACGAAGGAGUUCAGACGGCACAUGGUAUGAUGCAGGCUGCUCGUCAACAUACGGCUACAUCUGUAAAUACCCGCUAAACACCAUUUCCUGUGCUGAAUGGAAGCGUAAAGGCUAUACAUCUAAUGGAUACUA